GACGGAGGGUGCUAGCGUUGUUCGGAAUUACUGGGCGUAAAGGGCGCGUAGGCGGCCCUGUCAGUCGGGUGUGAAAGCCCGGGGCUCAACCCCGGAACGGCACCCGAGACGGCGGGGCUGGAGACCGGGAGAGGAGGGUGGAAUAGCCAGUGUAGAGGUGAAAUUCGUAGAUAUUGGCUGGAACACCGGUGGCGAAAGCGGCUCUCUGGCCCGGUACUGACGCUGAGGUGCGAAAGCGUGGGGGAGCAAACAGGG
rnacentral:rRNA from 1 species